UACGAAGGGUGCAAACGUUGCUCGGAAUCAUUGGGCGUAAAGCGCACGUAGGCGGCUUGCCAAGUCGGACGUGAAAUCCCUCAGCUCAACUGAGGACGUGCAUCCGAAACUGGCGAGCUUGAGUACUGAAGAGGAUCGCGGAAUUCCCGGUGUAGAGGUGAAAUUCGUAGAUAUCGGGAGGAACACCAGUGGCGAAGGCGGCGACCUGGGCAGAUACUGACGCUGAGGUGCGAAAGCGUGGGGAGCAAACAGG
rnacentral:rRNA from 1 species